rnacentral:lncRNA from 1 species
AUGCUGGUCUAAGUAUGUCUCUGUAAGAAUGAAGACGGGACUGGGGAGACAUCUCAGAUAGUGAACGGCUUUUCAUACAAGCAGAAGACCUGAGUUUAAUUCUCUGAACUCCUGUAAACAGUGGCAUCAUUGCUGUACUUGUAAUCCCAGUGCUGGAAAGGCUGAGACUUGUGGACCAAUGGGACUCCCUGGACAGUCACCCUGCAGCAAUGGGCCACAUAUCAGUCUUCCUUACAGACAGAAUGAAGAUCAGCCGUGGAAGCAGAGAUGUGUCUUUGCUAGAGCAUUUGGACAAAUACAUAUGAACCUUGUCUCUGUGUUGUAAACAAUGGCACUGGCCCUACAAAGACUAGCAAAGUUUCCCGAUGAUUGUCGAUCCUAGCUGUAUGUGGCAAGUCAAGAGUCCAACCUACACUUAUUUCAUUUCAAAACCUGG